AAUAACCCUAUUUUUCGUUUUUCCGUGUUCAACGUUUGACUAUUCGUCUUAUUUAAAAUUUUUUUACGAUUAAUAUUUUUAUUAUUACUAGGUGAUAAAAUAUGAAUAGUACUUUAUACGUGACUAAUUUUUUAAAGUUUUUUAUAAAUUUUUUAAAUAAGACGAAACGUUAGACAUAGAAAA
rnacentral:pre_miRNA from 1 species